CUAGGAAGUUUUGAUCACUUUGUGUCUGCUUAUUCACAAAUAACAGAUCGGUUGGGAAGUUUAUAAACAUUUUCGUUGUUUCUUUUGGAUUUAUUGGCGAUUUUGUUGAAAUUAAGAAGUUGACAAUGAAUGACAUAACACAAACUUUACUGGUUGCUUUUGUUGCUUGUACAUGGACUAUAGCUCGCUCUCAAAUCAACGUCAUAUACACGCAGUCAGUUUACCAUACCAUCUCACUAGGAAAGGACCGGUACUCACAUUUCUCACAUAAAGAUUCAUGGUCGACCCGGAGCCCUUUUCAAACAAAAUUCCUUAGAAGUUCAAGUGAAUUUCAGAAUAUUUAUUAUAAAAUUACCAGGACUACGAACUAGAUCGAAGCUACGCUGGAAUAGUUAUUGUUCUUAUUUUGUCAUAUUGUAAUAUUUCACAGAGUGUUUUAAUGUAAUCGUUUUUACUGUUUGCUUUUCAAUUUUGGGAACGUCUAGAACUUUAUCCUAUAACCCAAUUUGGAUUCAAAAUUAGGGAAUCGUCGGACAGGCGAACUUACUCGCCGCAGUUCCAAAGCAUGUGAGUAAGGAAUCCUCUUAAAUGAUAUGGCAUUUUUCUGAUGUCGCACGUCCCCCUCCGAGGACGGAGUAGGGUUGCGUGCUCCGCUUUCUGCAGUCCGACUUUGGUUUCCAAAAAUCUUUUGGUUCUGACAAUAAUGACAGUAAGAGUACCGAGCAUUAUUAAUCUAUUUAUGAAAAGAAAUUAGGUUCAUUCACGGUUUGGUUGUACUUAAGAUCAAAAUGAUUUCAUUCAGGCGUUUUAUAGUAUAUGUAUAUGAUAAAUGCUUUGUUUAGAAAUUGAGAUUGUUCGGGCUGGGGUAAUAAAUAAACGACGGCUCCCGGGCGACCUCAGGCCUAAAUAUA